CUGCUCCCUCUGUCCUCUCCCCUGCAGCUCUCUCUUGGUGCCCAGAAUCUUCUGCUUACAUCCCCUGGCCGUGUGCCCCUGCGCCGGUCGAGUUCCCUGCGCUCGCCGGCGCUCCUCCCUGGCUCGCCCCUCCACGCGCCCCUGGCCCUCCCUGCCGUGCGCCUGCCCAGGUCCGCGCCGCCUCUGCUCCUCGUUCUUCUCUGCGAGACGUGUAGCUCCUUCCUGCGCGCGCCGGCCGCCAGUUCGUCUUCAACGUCCAGCCAUGGAGCUCCUGCGCGUCGCGACUUCCCUUCCCCCGAGUUCUCCCUGCCAUGGCGCACCCUCCCUGCUCGGCCUUUGCUCCUCUGGCGCCAUGGAAUCCUUGCGUGCGUGAAGCUUCCUGCUCGACGGCGCUCCUCCCUGCGCCCAGCCAAGCCCCUUCAUCGCGCUCAGCCGCUCUCCUUUCUCCUCCGCACCGCGCUCCUCUGCUCCAGCCCGCCGAGCAGCUCGCCCGAGCUCCUUCCCUGCUUCCAUGGGCGCUGCGCACUUGCCCCUGCUCGGCUCCCUUUCCUGCGCGUGCCCAGCCGUGGUCUCCAGCUCACCGGACGCGGGCCUCUGUCUGUGCCGUGCUCCCUGCGCGCUUGGUCCUGCCAUCUCCAUGGCACUCGGCCGCGCAGCGUCUUCCUCAGCCAUGGCGAGUUCCUCGCUGCCACGGUUGUCUAGUGGUUGGCCCGCGCCAUCUCUGCUCCUCUCGGCCUGCUACUGCGUGUGCUUGUGUCUGAGCUCAUCUGGCCACGACCUCGUCGAACUGCGAAACUCCCUCGCCGUGCGCUCUGGCAUCGGCUGCCA
rnacentral:misc_RNA from 1 species